CAGCCGCCGCGGUAAUACGUAGGUGGCGAGCGUUGUCCGGAAUUAUUGGGCGUAAAGGGAGCGCAGGCGGGAAGGUAAGUCUAUCUUAAAAGUGCGGGGCUCAACCCCGUGAGGGGAUAGAAACUAUCAUUCUUGAGUGCAGGAGAGGAAAGCGGAAUUCCUAGUGUAGCGGUGAAAUGCGUAGAUAUUAGGAGGAACACCAGUGGCGAAGGCGGCUUUCUGGACUGUAACUGACGCUGAGGCUCGAAAGCCAGGGGAGCGAACGGGAUUAGAUACCCCGGUAGUCCUGGCCGUAAACGAUGAAUGCUAGGUGUAGGAGGUAUCGACCCCUCCUGUGCCGGAGUUAACGCAAUAAGCAUUCCGCCUGGGGAGUACGGCCGCAAGGCUGAAACUCAAAGGAAUUGACGGGGGCCCGCACAAGCGGUGGAGUAUGUGGUUUAAUUCGACGCAACGCGAAGAACCUUACCAGGGCUUGACAUUGAGUGAAAAGGCUAGAGAUAGCCUCCUCCCUUCGGGGACACGAAAACAGGUGGUGCAUGGCC
rnacentral:rRNA from 1 species